GGGUUGUGAGGUUAAGCGACUAAGCGUACACGGUGGAUGCCCUGGCAGUCAGAGGCGAUGAAGGACGUGCUAAUCUGCGAAAAGCGUCGGUAAGGUGAUAUGAACCGUUAUAACCGGCGAUGUCCGAAUGGGGAAACCCAGUGCAAUUCGUUGCACUAUCGUUAACUGAAUACAUAGGUUAACGAGGCGAACCGGGGGAACUGAAACAUCUAAGUACCCCGAGGAAAAGAAAUCAACCGAGAUUCCCCCAGUAGCGGCGAGCGAACGGGGAGCAGCCCAGAGUCUGAAUCAGCUUGUGUGUUAGUGGAACGGUCUGGAAAGUCCGACGGUACAGGGUGAUAGUCCCGUACACCAAAAUGCACAGGCUGUGAACUCGAAGAGUAGGGCGGGACACGUGGUAUCCUGUCUGAAUAUGGGGGGACCAUCCUCCAAGGCUAAAUACUCCUGACUGACCGAUAGUGAACCAGUACCGUGAGGGAAAGGCGAAAAGAACCCCGGCGAGGGGAGUGAAAAAGAACCUGAAACCGUGUACGUACAAGCAGUGGGAGCACCUUCGGGUGUGACUGCGUACCUUUUGUAUAAUGGGUCAGCGACUUAUAUUCUGUAGCAAGGUUAACCGUAUAGGGGAGCCGCAGGGAAACCGAGUCUUAACUGGGCGUUAAGUUGCAGGGUAUAGACCCGAAACCCGGUGAUCUAGCCAUGGGCAGGUUGAAGGUUGGGUAACACUAACUGGAGGACCGAACCGACUAAUGUUGAAAAAUUAGCGGAUGACUUGUGGCUGGGGGUGAAAGGCCAAUCAAACCGGGAGAUAGCUGGUUCUCCCCGAAAGCUAUUUAGGUAGCGCCUCGUGAAUUCAUCUUCGGGGGUAGAGCACUGUUUCGGCUAGGGGGUCAUCCCGACUUACCAACCCGAUGCAAACUACGAAUACCGAAGAAUGUUAUCACGGGAGACACACGGCGGGUGCUAACGUCCGUCGUGAAGAGGGAAACAACCCAGACCGCCAGCUAAGGUCCCAAAGUCAUGGUUAAGUGGGAAACGAUGUGGGAAGGCACAGACAGCCAGGAUGUUGGCUUAGAAGCAGCCAUCAUUUAAAGAAAGCGUAAUAGCUCACUGGUCGAGUCGGCCUGCGCGGAAGAUGUAACGGGGCUAAACCAUGCACCGAAGCUGCGGCAGCGACACUAUGUGUUGUUGGGUAGGGGAGCGUUCUGUAAGCCUGCGAAGGUGACCUGUGAGGGUUGCUGGAGGUAUCAGAAGUGCGAAUGCUGACAUAAGUAACGAUAAAGCGGGUGAAAAGCCCGCUCGCCGGAAGACCAAGGGUUCCUGUCCAACGUUAAUCGGGGCAGGGUGAGUCGACCCCUAAGGCGAGGCCGAAAGGCGUAGUCGAUGGGAAACAGGUUAAUAUUCCUGUACUUGGUGUUACUGCGAAGGGGGGACGGAGAAGGCUAUGUUAGCCGGGCGACGGUUGUCCCGGUUUAAGCAUGUAGGCUGAUUGUCCAGGCAAAUCCGGAUAAUCAAGGCUGAGGUGUGAUGACGAGGCACUACGGUGCUGAAGUAACAAAUGCCCUGCUUCCAGGAAAAGCCUCUAAGCAUCAGGUAACAUCAAAUCGUACCCCAAACCGACACAGGUGGUCAGGUAGAGAAUACCAAGGCGCUUGAGAGAACUCGGGUGAAGGAACUAGGCAAAAUGGUGCCGUAACUUCGGGAGAAGGCACGCUGGUGUGUAGGUGAAGCCCCUGCGGGUGGAGCUGAGACCAGUCGAAGAUACCAGCUGGCUGCAACUGUUUAUUAAAAACACAGCACUGUGCAAACACGAAAGUGGACGUAUACGGUGUGACGCCUGCCCGGUGCCGGAAGGUUAAUUGAUGGGGUUAUCCGUAAGGAGAAGCUCUUGAUCGAAGCCCCGGUAAACGGCGGCCGUAACUAUAACGGUCCUAAGGUAGCGAAAUUCCUUGUCGGGUAAGUUCCGACCUGCACGAAUGGCGUAAUGAUGGCCAGGCUGUCUCCACCCGAGACUCAGUGAAAUUGAACUCGCUGUGAAGAUGCAGUGUACCCGCGGCAAGACGGAAAGACCCCGUGAACCUUUACUAUAGCUUGACACUGAACAUUGAGCCUUGAUGUGUAGGAUAGGUGGGAGGCUUUGAAGCGUGGACGCCAGUCUGCGUGGAGCCAACCUUGAAAUACCACCCUUUAAUGUUUGAUGUUCUAACGUUGGCCCCUUACCGGGGUUGCGGACAGUGUCUGGUGGGUAGUUUGACUGGGGCGGUCUCCUCCCAAAGCGUAACGGAGGAGCACGAAGGUUAGCUAAUCCUGGUCGGACAUCAGGAGGUUAGUGCAAUGGCAUAAGCUAGCUUGACUGCGAGCGUGACGGCGCGAGCAGGUGCGAAAGCAGGUCAUAGUGAUCCGGUGGUUCUGAAUGGAAGGGCCAUCGCUCAACGGAUAAAAGGUACUCCGGGGAUAACAGGCUGAUACCGCCCAAGAGUUCAUAUCGACGGCGGUGUUUGGCACCUCGAUGUCGGCUCAUCACAUCCUGGGGCUGAAGUAGGUCCCAAGGGUAUGGCUGUUCGCCAUUUAAAGUGGUACGCGAGCUGGGUUUAGAACGUCGUGAGACAGUUCGGUCCCUAUCUGCCGUGGGCGCUGGAGAAUUGAGGGGGCUGCUCCUAGUACGAGAGGACCGGAGUGGACGCAUCACUGGUGUUCGGGUUGUCAUGCCAAUGGCACUGCCCGGUAGCUAAAUGCGGAAGAGAUAAGUGCUGAAAGCAUCUAAGCACGAAACUUGCCCCGAGAUGAGUUCUCCCUGAGACUUUAAGUCUCCUGAAGGAACGUUGAAGACGACGACGUUGAUAGGCCGGGUGUGUAAGCGCAGCGAUGCGUUGAGCUAACCGGUACUAAUGAACCGUGAGGCUUAACCUUACAACGCCGAAG
rnacentral:rRNA from 1 species